GCAGGGGUUGAGACUCAUGGGGCAAACAGACCUGAGGAUCUAGGCACCUACAUCCAUUAAGGUUUGAAAUUCAGAAGCAGUAGGCUGUAAGCACUCAACAUUCCUCUCAGGCAGCAUGGAUCCAGUUCUAGCCAUAUUGCCCCAUGGAUGGAGUAGAGACAGCUGGUCCCUACCACACCCAGCCCAAUGUGCAGUGUCNGGAGCAAAAUCCACUUCGUUGGUCAAGCUUUGCAAGGCAAAGUUUAGCAUCAGGAGUGGUCCAUGGCUGUCUGCCCACCCACUGCUGGGACAGAAGCUGCUCUCAGCCACAGCCACCCCCAUCAAUCAAUAUUUUUAAUUACCUUUACAUGAUUGACUAAUAAAAUUCUCCACUGACUAAUUG